rnacentral:rRNA from 1 species
UGUAAGCGUAUACCAAAGUUGUUGCAGUUAAAACGCUCGUAGUCGGAAUUUGGCAGUUCCGGAUGUGUGCACGUCGUGUGCGCACUUCGCGGGGAUUGCUUUUGUGGUCUUGCGUAGGAUGAGGCACUUUUAUUAGUGAACGUCCUCACGCAACCACUUUUUACUGUGAGAAAAUCAGAGUGCUCAAAGCAGGCAUUUGCCGUGAAUGUAUUAGCAUGGAAUAAUAGAAUAGGACUUGGUUCUAUUUUGUUGGUUUGUUGGGACUGAGUAAUGACUAAGAGGGACAGUUGGGGGCAUUUGUAUUUCGGUGCUAGAGGUGAAAUUCUUAGAUUACCGAAAGACAAACUGCUGCGAAAGCGUCUGCCAAGGAUGUUUUCAUUGA